rnacentral:misc_RNA from 1 species
GAAAUGCGAUAAGUAAUGUGAAUUGCAGAAUUCAGUGAAUCAUCGAAUCUUUGAACGCACCUUGCGCUCCUUGGUAUUCCUUGGUGCAUGCCUGUUUGAGUAUCAUGAAAUCUUCAAAGUAAAUCUUUUGUUAACUCAAUUGGUUUCUACUUUGGUAUUGGAGGUCUUUGCAGCUUCACACCUGCUCCUCUUUGUUCAUUAGCUGGAUCUCAGUGUUAUGCUUGGUUCCACUCGGCGUGAUAAGUUAUCUAUCGCUGAGGACACUGUAAAAGGUGGCCAAGGUAAAUGCAGAUGAGCCGCUUCUAAUAGUCCAUUGACUUGGACAAUACUUUUAUGAUCUGAUCUCAAAUCAGGUAGGACUACCCGCUGAACUUAAGC